UACAGAGGGUGCAAGCGUUAAUCGGAAUUACUGGGCGUAAAGCGUGCGCAGGCGGUUUUGUAAGUCUGUCGUGAAAUCCCCGGGCUCAACCUGGGAAUUGCGAUGGAGACUGCAAGGCUAGAAUCUGGCAGAGGGGGGUAGAAUUCCACGUGUGAGCAGUGAAAUGCGUAGAGAUGUGGAGGAACACCGAUGGCGAAGGCAGCCCCUGGGUCAAGAUUGACGCUCAUGCACGA
rnacentral:rRNA from 1 species